AAAGUAAAAGGUUUCCGAAACGAGGUCGUUCACUUUUUUGUUAUAUUUUUCCUUCUCAGAUAAUUUUGUGGCUUUUCCUUCUUCUUUCGCAUCAUCAUCGUC
rnacentral:ribozyme from 13 species